AAUCAACGCUGGCGGCGUGCCUAACACAUGCAAGUCGAACGCGAAAGCCCUUUCGGGGGUAAGUAGAGUGGCGUCCGGGUGAGUAACACGUAGGUAAUCUGCCUUCGGGUGGGGAAUAACCAGUCGAAAGAUUGGCUAAUACCGCAUAAUGCAGCGGCACCUAAUGGUGAUUAGUUGUUAAAGCGGGGGAUCGUAAGACCUCGCGCCUGAAGAGGAGCCUGCGGCAGAUUAGCUAGNGGUGAGGUAAUGGCUCACCAAGGCUUCGAUCUGUAGCUGGUCUGAGAGGACGGCCAGCCACACUGGCACUGACACACGGGCCAGACUCCUACGGGAGGCAGCAGUGGGGAAUUUUGGGCAAGUGGGCGAAAGCCUGACCCAGCAACGCCGCGUGAGGGAGGAAAUCCUUCGGGA
rnacentral:rRNA from 1 species